CCUACGGGUGGCAGCAGUGAGGAAUAUUGGUCAAUGGACGAGAGUCUGAACCAGCCAAGUCGCGUGAAGGAUGACUUCCCUAUGGGUUUUAAUCUUCUUUUAUAAAGGAAUAAAACGAGGCACGUGUGCCUUUUUGCAUGUACUUCAUGAAUAAGGAUCGGCUAACUCCGUGCCAGCAGCCGCGGUAAUACGGAGGAUCCGAGCGUUAUCCGGGUUUAUUGGGUGUAAAGGGAGCGUAGAUGGCUUGUUAAGUCAGGUGUGAAAGUUUGCGGCUCAACCGUAAAACUGCAAUGGAUACUGGGAGUCUUGAGUACAGUUGAGGUAGGCGGAAUUCGUGGUGUAGCGGUGAAAUGCUUAGAUAUCACGAAGAACCCCGAUUGCGAAGGCAGCUUACUAAACUGUGACUGACAUUGAUGCUCGAAAGUGUGGGUAUCAAACAGGAUUAGAUACCCGUGUAGUC
rnacentral:rRNA from 1 species